UUUUAUUGAUAUUGGAGGAAUAUAAACCACGAAAAGAAAAUGAAAACAAAAAAUUAUUAUGAAGCAAUAAAUCUCCAAAUGCACAGGAACUCCAUUGAACCACGACUAACGCGAGGGCAAUGGCUAUAGCACUUGGACACUAUCAACACAACUGCACAUAUGAAUGAUCCAUGAUACCAUCCUUAAUUUGCAUCCAUUUUGAAGAUUAACACAAACAGGUAUGCUUCAGUCAGUCAAAGACCACGAAUUUUUGGAUGCAUAUAUAGAGUUGCAAAUCGGAGUUUCAAUUCUCAGAGAGGUAACAUCGCUAAACUUAAACAAGUUUAUGAAUCUUUUUCAAAAAUUCCACCUUUUGUGUUGAAUUAGAUGUUUGAAAAUAGAGCUAAUGGAGUUGAGGAUGUGAAUAGUGUUGUUAUUACCACGGGGAGUCUUAAAUCUACUAAUGGCACAUAAUUGAUUGAACCCUAGAGCAUCAAAGCUCUAUAGUUAGCUCUGAAGAUGUGAUGUUUGUAGAAAUGCAAUAGAGCAUAACUAGAGAGCAGCCAUAUGGGAUUCCUAGAAUUUUCUCCACUUCUCUUGUUAGACAUGAUUCACUCAUUCAGAGGAUAUAAUGUGCCACUUCAAUUCCAUACAUAAUAUGGUGUUAUUUCACGAUUAUGAUUAUGGGGUUGUAGAAUCUUUGAAUCAUGAGCAUCAUAAUCAACACUAUUUCGAUCCUUUGCAUAAUAUUACCAUCUUUUAUGAUGAUAAUAUGGAAGAUGAAGAUCAUAUAGAUGACAAAUACGGGUGAAGCUAGAGGUGACGAUACUAAUCAAGUCCAGUUAUGGGUAGAGUUUCCUUCUUCAAAAAAUAAAUUUCCACCAUUAGCUCCUGGCAGUUGUUUAGUACAGUCAAAUGAUGAAGUUCAAUACACUCCUGGAUCCUCUAAAUCGACCUUAAAUGUGUUAGUUCCUUCAGGAUAAACCCCACCAAUGGUUAUGGAGUAGAUUUUGAUUCUAUAUCUGAGGAAGAUGAUUCAGACGAUGACAUAGAGAUGAAUAUGGAUAUUUUUCAAGUAGAAUAGAGAACAAACUCCUCAAGAAAAGAAAACAAAAGAUGUUUUAGGAUUUAAAUUUGGAUUCUUUGGUGAACAAGAAAAAGGAAUUCCUAGUUGGAUACCGAAGAAAAAUUAAGGCAGGGAAUGACUCUUUCUAGAUAGAAAAUUCUUGUUUUGCAUGGUUAUAAGAGCAAUAUUGGAACUAGAAAGCCAUUGUAUAGAAUUUAGGAUUUGCCAGUUUCUACCAAGUUUGAUCUGCAGGGGUAUCGGCCUAAUCCCCCUCGAUCUAUGAGUUUGUACUUUGCUUUUGCUUUAAUAAAAAGUGGUUUCUUUCUUCUUCUUCUUUUUUAAAGUUGCAUUGAUAGUUAAAUGAGUGAGCCUAUGUUAUGUUGAUAGUUAAAUGAGUUAGCAUAUGCCAUUCAGCUGGUUAAUAUAUUUUCUUUAGAUUGCUGUUGCUUUUAUUCCAUUUCCAAAUAGUGUACUAGAGCUAACUUCAUCUUAUCAACUUUUCCAUCUCCCUUAUAAGCAUGAAGAAAGCUUGAACAAGUUACCUCCAAGAUUUUUCUACUUAAAAUAUACUGAUUCAAUCUUACAUGAUCUUUUAGGUAUGGAAACUUAUUAGUAUUACAAUUCUUAUCAGAAAGUGAACUCUUCAGUUUAUUACCAAGACACAGCUUACUCUUCAUACAUCAAUGCAAAAGGCAAAGAGUGAAGUGCCACUGGUCCAAGUUGGAUGGAACUUAGCCAAACUAAUUGAAUAUCCAUGGCCAACAUAAACACAACCAUAGCUAACUGAUACACCCCCAUAGAUAGUAGCACCAGUGUUAAAUGUCCACAAGAUUUUACCAUUACUGGCAUCCAUGGCAUAGAGAGGGCCAUUAGGAGCCACAGAUCCUGCAAAAAGAAGUCCAUUAACUAUGGUGACCGGCCCGUGGGCCGUGUCGUUGCUAGGGUCUGCAGUGGUCCAAAGGAUUUGGCCCGUGUUUGCAUCCAAUGCUACCCAUCCACCAGCUGUUGUUGUUUGAUUCGAAGGUGCUAAGGUGAAAGGAACUCUAUUUCCAUUGACUAUGUUUGUGUAAACUCGCCUCCCAUCUGUGGCUGCACCCCAUACUCCUCCUCCCUCCAAGCUCCCUGGUCCUGCUUUCUACAUCGCACAAAAAUUCUUAGAUUAGCAAAUUUGUACUAAUAUUUCACGUUCACAAAGUUGAUUCAUCAAGACAUCGACUUUAAAUGAUCAAUAGAUUUAACUUAAAGAAGUGUUUUUAGCCCAUAGUGUAUUUUAAUUAGUUAUAGCAGAUUAUUUUCUUUUGUUCGUAUGUUACCAAGUUAAGUUUAAUAUAGGUUUUACAUGUUGUUGCAUGUCGCUUAACGUCAGUUGCAGGGACAAGAGUUCAUACAAAAGGGGAUGCACAAAAUGUACUAAAAUGUCGCACAUAGAUUUGAACUUAUGACUUAAAAGCCAUUUUUUAACCCGCUUAGCCACUACACUAGAAUCUUCCUACGUAAAGGGAUUCAACAGUUAAUAUAUAACAGAAGUGUUUGUUUUUACCCUAUACACAGUAUAAUAUUCCAGCGAAGGGGAUUUAACCUAGUCCUCCCUAACCCUGCUCAACCCGAUGGCGUAAAACGACUAUGUAAUAUUGUUAGUGUUCAAAAGUUAAAUAACCAAAAGCAAAAUGCUACAUCAUGCUAAUUAAGCUCUUGGUUCACAAAAUUCUUACUCAGUAUAGAAAUCAUUAAAAUAUUAUUUGUCAAAUUUACCAGCAAACAAACGCUACGCAUCCUUUCUCUUGUCAAAAUUAGUUUGCUCUUGUGUUAAU
rnacentral:lncRNA from 1 species